AUGAACGCUAGCUACAGGCUUAACACAUGCAAGUCGAGGGCAGCAUGGUCUUAGCUUGCUAAGACUGAUCGGCGACCGGCGCACGGGUGAGUAACACGUAUCCAACCUGCCGUCUACUCUUGGACAGCCUUCUGAAAAGGAAGAUUAAUACAAGAUGGCAUCAUGAGUCCGCAUGUUCACAUGAUUAAAGGUAUUCCGGUAGACGAUGGGGAUGCGUUCCAUUAGAUAGUAGGCGGGGUAACGGCCCACCUAGCCUACGAUGGAUAGGGGUUCUGAGAGGAAGGUCCCCCACAUUGGAACUGAGACACGGUCCAAACUCCUACGGGAGGCAGCAGUGAGGAAUAUUGGUCAAUGGACGAGAGUCUGAACCAGCCAAGUAGCGUGAAGGAUGAAGGUCCUACGGAUUGUAAACUUCUUUUAUAAGGGAAUAAAACCUCCCACGUGUGGGAGCUUGUAUGUACCUUAUGAAUAAGCAUCGGCUAACUCCGUG
rnacentral:rRNA from 1 species